rnacentral:rRNA from 1 species
GACGAACGCUGGCGGCGUGCUUAACACAUGCAAGUCGAACGGAAAGGCCCUGCCUUUGUUGGGUGCUCGAGUGGCGAACGGGUGAGUAACACGUGAGUAACCUGCCCUUGACUUUGGGAUAACUUCAGGAAACUGGGGCUAAUACCGCAUAGGAGCUCCUGCUGCCUGGUGGGGGUUGGAAAGUUUCGGCGGUUGGGGAUGGACUCGCGGCUUAUCAGCUUGUUGGUGGGGUAGUGGCUUACCAAGGCUUCGACGGGUAGCCGGCCUGGGAGGGUGACCGGACACGUCGCGACUGGGCUACGGCCCAGACUCCUACGGGAGGCAGCGGUGGGGAAUAUUACACUAUGGGAGGAAGCCUGAUGCAGCAACGCCGCGUGGGGGAGAAGGGCCUGCUGGUUGGAAACCGAUUUCGCCUGGGACGAGGCGUGAGUGACGGUAACGGGUAAAGAAGCAACGGCUAACUACGUG